GUCUCGCCGGUCUCCACUGCUGACCAGCUUUAGUGGAGAUGUCCCGGUUGUAGGUUUUUGGUAAGAAAAAUCAUACGAAAGGAAAGGAAGGACCCAGACAGCAGCGCCUGAGGACUGGCUGGCCGGCAGCACUGUCAGGGAUGGGGGUGACAUGGAGAACGAGCAGCUAGCAAAGCAAGCAGGCGAAUCUGCACAGCGUUUUCUUGACUCAUGGCUGAUGUGGAAGGGCCCAGGCCACUGUGGUGAUGCAGCCCAGGCAGGACCGUGGUCCUGGAUGGGAGAAGAAAGCAGGCUGGUGAGCCAUGGGCGGCAUGCUAUCAGGCAGUGCUCGUCCAUGGCUGCUGCUUCAGCUCCUGGCUUCCCUGGAUGAUUUAGACUGAAGUAUAAGCUAAAUAAACCCUCUUCUCCCCAGCA